rnacentral:rRNA from 1 species
GACGAACGCUGGCGGCAUGCUUAACACAUGCAAGUCGAACGGAAAGGCCCUGCUUUUGUGGGGUGCUCGAGUGGCGAACGGGUGAGUAACACGUGAGUAACCUGCCCUUGACUUUGGGAUAACUUCAGGAAACUGGGGCUAAUACCGGAUAGGAGCUCCUGCUGCAUGGUGGGGGUUGGAAAGUUUCGGCGGUUGGGGAUGGACUCGCGGCUUAUCAGCUUGUUGGUGGGGUAGUGGCUUACCAAGGCUUUGACGGGUAGCCGGCCUGAGAGGGUGACCGGCCACAUUGGGACUACGAUACGGCCCAGACUCCUACGGGAGGCAGCAGUGGGGAGUAUUGCACAAUGGGCGGAAGCCUGAUGCAGCAACGCCGCGUGCGGGAUGACGGGCUUCGGGUUGUAAACCGCUUUCGCCUGUGACGAAGCGUGAGUGACGGUAAUGGGUAAAGAAGCACCGGCUAACUACGUG